rnacentral:tRNA from 1 species
GGCUCAGUGGUAGAGCGUUUGACUUUUAAUCAAAUGGUCGUGAGUUCGAUCCUCACA